rnacentral:rRNA from 2 species
UGACCUCAAAUCAGGUAGGACUACCCGCUGAACUUAAGCAUAUCAAUAAGCGGAGGAAAAGAAACUAACAAGGAUUCCCCUAGUAACUGCGAGUGAAGCGGGAAAAGCUCAAAUUUAAAAUCUGGCAGUCUUUGGCUGUCCGAGUUGUAAUCUAGAGAAGCGUUAUCCGCGUUGGACCGUGUACAAGUCUCCUGGAAUGGAGCGUCAUAGAGGGUGAGAAUCCCGUCUUUGACACGGACUGCCAGGGCUUUGUGAUGCGCUCUCAAAGAGUCGAGUUGUUUGGGAAUGCAGCUCAAAAUGGGUGGUAAAUUCCAUCUAAAGCUAAAUAUUGGCGAGAGACCGAUAGCGAACAAGUACCGUGAGGGAAAGAUGAAAAGAACUUUGGAAAGAGAGUUAAACAGUACGUGAAAUUGCUGAAAGGGAAACGCUUGAAGUCAGUCGCGUUGGCCAGGGAUCAACCUUGCUUUUGCUUGGUGUACUUUCUGGUUAACGGGUCAACAUCAAUUUUGACUAUUGGAAAAAGAUUAGGGGAAUGUGACAUCUUCGGAUGUGUUAUAGCCUUUAGUUGUAUACAAUAGUUGGGAUUGAGGAACUCAGCACGCCGCAAGGCCGGGUUUUUAACUACGUACGUGCUUAGGA